CCAACGGUCCUUUUCAGGACCACAGAUAGUCUUUCCAAAAGAGUU
rfam:Aedes albopictus isolate Foshan contig84327, whole genome shotgun sequence.